GGGAUAGCCCAGGGAAACCUGGAUUAAUACCGGAUGAGACGGGACCCGCGAUGGCGGGACCCGGGAAAGGCGCUGCGGCGCCGCCGGGGGAUGAGUCUGCGUCCCAUUAGCUAGACGCGGGGUAACGGCCCACCGUGGCGACGAUGGGUAGCCGGCCUGAGAGGGUGACGGCCACAUUGGAACUGAGACACGGUCCAGACUCCUACGGGAGGCAGCAGCUAAGAAUCUUCCGCAAUGGGCGAAAGCCUGACGGAGCGACGCCCGCGUGAACGAAGAAGGCCGUGAGGUUGUAAAGUUCUUUUCGGGAGGGGGAACAACCGUGGCAGGGAAUGGCCGCGGACUCGACGUGAAUCCCGGAAUAAGCCCCGGCUAACUACGUGCCAGCAGCGGC
rnacentral:rRNA from 1 species